rnacentral:rRNA from 1 species
GACGAACGCUGGCGGCGUGCUUAACACAUGCAAGUCGAACGCUGAAGCUCAGCUUUUGUUGGGUGGAUGAGUGGCGAACGGGUGAGUAACACGUGAGUAACCUGCCUCCUUCUUUGGGAUAACGCCCGGAAACGGGUGCUAAUACUGGAUAUUCACUGGUCUUCGCAUGGGGGUUGGUGGAAAGGGUUUUUCUGGUGGGGGAUGGGCUCGCGGCCUAUCAGCUUGUUGGUGGGGUGAUGGCCUACCAAGGCUUUGACGGGUAGCCGGCCUGAGAGGGUGACCGGUCACAUUGGGACUGAGAUACGGCCCAGACUCCUACGGGAGGCAGCAGUGGGGAAUAUUGCACAAUGGGCGCAAGCCUGAUGCAGCGACGCCGCGUGAGGGAUGGAGGCCUUCGGGUUGUGAACCUCUUUCGCUCAUGGUCAAGCCGCAACAAUGGUUGUGGUGAGGGUAGUGGGUAAAGAAGCGCCGGCUAACUACGCG